AGUUGUUGCGGUUAAAAGCUCGUAGUUGGAUUUCUGCCGAGGACGACCGGUCCGCCCUCUGGGGGAGUAUGUGGGUCGGCCUGGGCAUCUUCUUGGAGAACGUAGCUGCACUUGACUGUGUGGUGCGGUAUCCAGGACUUUUACUUUGAGGAAAUUAGAGUGUUUCAAGCAGGCACACGCCUUGAAUACAUUAGCAUGGAAUAAUAAGAUAGGACCUCGGUUCUAUUUUGUUGGUUUCUAGAGCUGAAGUAAUGAUUAAUAGGGAUAGUUGGGGGCAUUCGUAUUUAACUGUCAGAGGUGAAAUUCUUGGAUUUGUUAAAGACGGACUACUGCRAAAGCAUUUGCCAAGGAUGUUUUCUUGAUCAGACGAAAGUUAGGGGACGAAGACGAUCAGAUACCGUCCUAGUCUUAACCUAAACCAUGCCGACUAGAGAUUGGAGGUCGUUAUCUAUACRACUCCUUCASCACCUUAUGAGAAAUCAAAGUCUUUGGGUUCCGGGGGGAGKAUGGUCGCAAGGCUGAAACUUAAAGGAAUUGACGGAAGGGCCCCCAGGAGUGGAGCCUGCGGCUUAUUUGACUCACACGGGGAAACUUACCAGGUCCAGACAUARUAAGGAUUGACAGAUUGAUAGUCUUUUUGAUCUUGGKGGGGKGCAUGCCUUCUAGUGGUGGAUGAUUUGUCUGUUAUUCCUWACAAAAACUAACCUGCUAAAGUCMCGAWCUUSUACGGGRACUAUUCUUAGAGGGACUUUGUGUGACUACMRRGAKUARMGCUUUGACGGCAAAUAACCCGUCUUGUUGGAUGCCCCAGCA
rnacentral:rRNA from 1 species